rnacentral:tRNA from 1 species
GCCUGGGUGGCGGAAUUGGUAGACGCGCUGGAUUCAAAAUCCAGUUUUGGUGACAAAGUGUGGGUUCGAUUCCCACCCCAGGUA